CCAUGAGAGUUUGAGCGUUGCCGGUGCCUCGGCCGGCUUUGUGCUGGGCGACCUCCCUGUAAGCAGGGCUGGGGUCUUUGCUUUUGCUGUAGUUGGGCUUUUGCCUGUCUGCUCCUUCGGCUGCCUGGGGAGCGUGGCCCCCUGUAACGGAGGGCGAGAGCCACCUCUCCGCACCUGAGUGGGAAACGGAGCUCGCCGGACCCCGAGGCCGCCCUGUAAGCAGGGUAGUGCCGUUUGCCCGUCCCUCUUCCUCCUCCGGCCCCUCGGCAUCGUUGCCUGGUGGUGGCCCGUAAAUGCGACGGCCCCGUACUCGGGGUGCGCGUCACGGCAUCUGGCCUUUGGCUUUAGCUGGGAAGCCCCUUGGCACGUUGAGGUCUGCGGCCUCCGUGCAGGCUAGGGACAGGUUGCAGGCUCUUGUCUGUUGCCCGCGGUUGUGGGUUUAUUCCCAGGGUUUGGCUGUGCUGCGUUGUCCUUCCCUUCUGGAAAGUCGCAUCUGUGUGCGUGUGUUCCCCUUCCUUUCCAUGUUUGUGUCUGUGGUGUGAUGGAUUGACUGAGCUUUCCCUUUAGGCUCCCACAAAAAUGGCUGCAGCCUAGCUUCGACUUCCCAGGGGGGAAUGGAGGACUUUGGUGCAUGCCACAAAAGGGGUGUUCCCUCUCAGUGCCGCGAGCGCAGCGAGUGUCCUGUCUUCCUCUAAAUUACUUAGCAUAGAUCAGAGCCACGUGGUAGUUCUGUGGCUGAGGCCGCCCUGUAGCCAGGGCUUGGGCCAGUCCUUUAGUGGGUGCCUGCUCCGCUGGCGGUGUGACAGCCCCGUAGUCGGGGCGUGUGUGCCAAGCUGUGGAGGCCUCUGUCCCGCGAGCGGCCCGCCCUGCCUGUAAUCAGGUGUGGGGAGGCUGCAGCAUUGCAGCCGGCUGCUCUAGCCAUCCAGCUGGUGGGAUUGACCCCUCCCUGUCCCGUCAGAGGGUGCAGGUUGAGGUGCUGGUUUUGUGUGUGGGGUGACCUCCCCGCUGGGUGGGUCGAGGUUGCUCCGCGGGUUCCCAAAGACGAGAGCUUGUUGAUGUUGUGCUGCUGCCGGGCGGGCCAGCCUGUAGGUCAGGCGUUGGCGGGAGCCUCGUGCUCCGCGGGGCUUGUUGGUGAGGGUGGGGUGUGGGGGUACCGUCCUGUAGGCAGGGCUGUGCGUGCCCCCGGUGUGUGCUUGGUGAGCUGCGUUGAGAGAGACCCCCUGUAGUCAGGCGGGCAUGUGGCCCUGGCCUUUCAGAGGCACGGGGCCGCGAGAUGCGGGGUUGGGCUUGCGCCCUCCCUGGAAUCAGGGCUGGGAGCCCGAGCGCGGCAUUUGGCCGUGUUGCCCCGCUGCCUGGCAGCUGAGAGUCACUCCCGCCGCUGGGGGGGAAACCGAGCUCUGUGGCUCCAGGGGUGUUGUCCACCCGCCUGUAAUCAGGGUCUGGGUGCGCGAGCGCUUGUGCUCAGCUGGCAGCCUGUGUGGGGUGACCGCCCCGUUAGCGGGGUGCGGGUCGAGGUGCCCCCUGAGUGGGAGAGAAGGAGCCUCCCGCGGCCGGUAGGGAUGGGGGCUGCCCUGUAAGGCGGGGAGCGCCAGUGCCUCGCAAUCCCAGGCCCUUUGGAAUGGAUGCAGUGGCGGGGGUCCCCUGUAAUCAGGGAAGAUGACUCUUUGGCCGCUGCUUGUUGUGUGCCCAGCUCCAUUUGCCCAGUCUGCCCGCCUCUGCGAUCCCCCGCAGCACCGGCUGGAAGCGCGCCGUGCGCCAGUGAGGAGCUGCUGCAGGAGGAGGAGGAGGAAGAAGGAGAAGCAGCGUGGGAACACAGGAGGCAGGAGCGAGCAAGAAGAGGAUGCCGAAGCGUGCCGACGCGGGGGGGAAGGAGAGAGGCAGGCUGGGCAAAGCAGGUGUCCCGUUAGCGGGGCCGCAGUCCCAUGAGAGUUUGAGCGUUGCCGGUGCCUUGGCCGGCUUUGUGCUGGGCGACCUCCCUGUAAGCAGGGCUCGGGUCUUUGCUUUUGCUGUAGUUGGGCUUUUGCCUGUCUGCUCCUUCGGCUGCCUGGGGAGCGUGGCCCCCUGUAACGGAGGGCGAGAGCCACCUCUCCGCACCUGAGCGGGAAACGGAGCUCGCCGGACCCCGAGGCCGCCCUGUAAGCAGGGUAGUGCCGUUUGCCCGUCCCUCUUCCUCCUCCGGCCCCUCGGCAUCGUUGCCUGGUGGUGGCCCGUAAAUGCGACGGCCCCGUACUCGGGGUGCGCGUCACGGCAUCUGGCCUUUGGCUUUAGCUGGGAAGCCCCUUGGCACGUUGAGGUCUGCGGCCUCCGUGCAGGCUAGAGAGAGUUCCCAGGCUCUUGGCUGUCCUUUAGUGGGCGCCUGCUCCGCUGGCGGUGUGACAGCCCCGUACUCGGGGCGUGUGUGCCAAGCUGCGGAGGCCUCUGUCCCGCGAGCGGCCCGCCCUGCCUGUAAUCAGGUGUGGGGAGGCUGCAGCAUUGCAGCCGGCUGCUCUAGCCAUCCAGCUGGUGGGAUUGACCCCUCCCUGUCCCGUCAGAGGGUGCAGGUUGAGGUGCUGGUUUUGUGUGUGGGGUGACCUCCCCGCUGGGUGGGUCGAGGUUGCUCCGCGGGUUCCCAAAGACAAGAGCUUGUUGAUGUUGUGCUGCUGCCGGGCGGGCCAGCCUGUAGGUCAGGCGUUGGCGGGAGCCUCGUGCUCCGCGGGGCUUGUUGGUGAGGGUGGGGUGUGGGGGUACCGUCCUGUAGGCAGGGCUGUGCGUGCCCCCGGUGUGUGCUUGGUGAGCUGCGUUGAGAGAGACCCCCUGUAGUCAGGCGGGCAUGUGGCCCUGGCCUUUCAGAGGCACAGGGCCGCGAGAUGCGGGGUUGGGCUUGCGCCCUCCCUGGAAUCAGGGCUGGGAGCCCGAGCGCGGCAUUUGGCCGUGUUGCCCCGCUGCCUGGCAGCUGAGAGUCGCUCCCGCCGCUGGGGGGGAAACCGAGCUCUGUGGCUCCAGGGGUGUUGUCCACCCGCCUGUAAUCAGGGUCUGGGUGCGCGAGCGCUUGUGCUCAGCUGGCAGCCUGUGUGGGGUGACCGCCCCGUUAGCGGGGUGCGGGUCGAGGUGCCCCCUGAGUGGGAGAGAAGGAGCCUCCCGCGGCCGGUAGGGAUGGGGGCUGCCCUGUAAGGCGGGGAGCGCCAGUGCCUCGCAAUCCCAGGCCCUUUGGAAUGGAUGCAGUGGCGGGGGUCCCCUGUAAUCAGGGAAGAUGACUCUUUGGCCGCUGCUUGUUGUGUGCCCAGCUCCAUUUGCCCAGUCUGCCCGCCUCUGCGAUCCCCCGCAGCACCGGCUGGAAGCGCGCCGUGCGCCAGUGAGGAGCUGCUGCAGGAGGAGGAGGAGGAAGAAGGAGAAGCAGCGUGGGAACACAGGAGGCAGGAGCGAGCAAGAAGAGGAUGCCGAAGCGUGCCGACGCGGGGGGGGAAGGAGAGAGGCAGGCUGGGCAAAGCAGGUGUCCCGUUAGCGGGGCCGCAGUCCCAUGAGAGUUUGAGCGUUGCCGGUGCCUUGGCCGGCUUUGUGCUGGGCGACCUCCCUGUAAGCAGGGCUGGGGUCUUUGCUUUUGCUGUAGUUGGGCUUUUGCCUGUCUGCUCCUUCGGCUGCCUGGGGAGCGUGGCCCCCUGUAACGGAGGGCGAGAGCCACCUCUCCGCACCUGAGUGGGAAACGGAGCUCGCCGGACCCCGAGGCCGCCCUGUAAGCAGGGUAGUGCCGUUUGCCCGUCCCUCUUCCUCCUCCGGCCCCUCGGCAUCGUUGCCUGGUGGUGGCCCGUAAAUGCGACGGCCCCGUACUCGGGGUGCGCGUCACGGCAUCUGGCCUUUGGCUUUAGCUGGGAAGCCCCUUGGCACGUUGAGGUCUGCGGCCUCCGUGCAGGCUAGAGAGAGUUCCCAGGCUCUUGGCUGUCCUUUAGUGGGCGCCUGCUCCGCUGGCGGUGUGACAGCCCCGUAGUCGGGGCGUGUGUGCCAAGCUGUGGAGGCCUCUGUCCCGCGAGCGGCCCGCCCUGCCUGUAAUCAGGUGUGGGGAGGCUGCAGCAUUGCAGCCGGCUGCUCUAGCCAUCCAGCUGGUGGGAUUGACCCCUCCCUGUCCCGUCAGAGGGUGCAGGUUGAGGUGCUGGUUUUGUGUGUGGGGUGACCUCCCCGCUGGGUGGGUCGAGGUUGCUCCGCGGGUUCCCAAAGACAAGAGCUUGUUGAUGUUGUGCUGCUGCCGGGCGGGCCAGCCUGUAGGUCAGGCGUUGGCGGGAGCCUCGUGCUCCGCGGGGCUUGUUGGUGAGGGUGGGGUGUGGGGGUACCGUCCUGUAGGCAGGGCUGUGCGUGCCCCCGGUGUGUGCUUGGUGAGCUGCGUUGAGAGAGACCCCCUGUAGUCAGGCGGGCAUGUGGCCCUGGCCUUUCAGAGGCACAGGGCCGCGAGAUGCGGGGUUGGGCUUGCGCCCUCUCUGGAAUCAGGGCUGGGAGCCCGAGCGCGGCAUUUGGCCGUGUUGCCCCGCUGCCUGGCAGCUGAGAGUCGCUCCCGCCGCUGGGGGGGAAACCGAGCUCUGUGGCUCCAGGGGUGUUGUCCACCCGCCUGUAAUCAGGGUCUGGGUGCGCGAGCGCUUGUGCUCAGCUGGCAGCCUGUGUGGGGUGACCGCCCCGUUAGCGGGGUGCGGGUCGAGGUGCCCCCUGAGUGGGAGAGAAGGAGCCUCCCGCGGCCGGUAGGGAUGGGGGCUGCCCUGUAAGGCGGGGAGCGCCAGUGCCUCGCAAUCCCAGGCCCUUUGGAAUGGAUGCAGUGGCGGGGGUCCCCUGUAAUCAGGGAAGAUGACUCUUUGGCCGCUGCUUGUUGUGUGCCCAGCUCCAUUUGCCCAGUCUGCCCGCCUCUGCGAUCCCCCGCAGCACCGGCUGGAAGCGCGCCGUGCGCCAGUGAGGAGCUGCUGCAGGAGGAGGAGGAGGAAGAAGGAGAAGCAGCGUGGGAACACAGGAGGCAGGAGCGAGCAAGAAGAGGAUGCCGAAGCGUGCCGACGCGGGGGGGAAGGAGAGAGGCAGGCUGGGCAAAGCAGGUGUCCCGUUAGCGGGGCCGCAGUCCCAUGAGAGUUUGAGCGUUGCCGGUGCCUUGGCCGGCUUUGUGCUGGGCGACCUCCCUGUAAGCAGGGCUCGGGUCUUUGCUUUUGCUGUAGUUGGGCUUUUGCCUGUCUGCUCCUUCGGCUGCCUGGGGAGCGUGGCCCCCUGUAACGGAGGGCGAGAGCCACCUCUCCGCACCUGAGCGGGAAACGGAGCUCGCCGGACCCCGAGGCCGCCCUGUAAGCAGGGUAGUGCCGUUUGCCCGUCCCUCUUCCUCCUCCGGCCCCUCGGCAUCGUUGCCUGGUGGUGGCCCGUAAAUGCGACGGCCCCGUACUCGGGGUGCGCGUCACGGCAUCUGGCCUUUGGCUUUAGCUGGGAAGCCCCUUGGCACGUUGAGGUCUGCGGCCUCCGUGCAGGCUAGAGAGAGUUCCCAGGCUCUUGGCUGUCCUUUAGUGGGCGCCUGCUCCGCUGGCGGUGUGACAGCCCCGUAGUCGGGGCGUGUGUGCCAAGCUGUGGAGGCCUCUGUCCCGCGAGCGGCCCGCCCUGCCUGUAAUCAGGUGUGGGGAGGCUGCAGCAUUGCAGCCGGCUGCUCUAGCCAUCCAGCUGGUGGGAUUGACCCCUCCCUGUCCCGUCAGAGGGUGCAGGUUGAGGUGCUGGUUUUGUGUGUGGGGUGACCUCCCCGCUGGGUGGGUCGAGGUUGCUCCGCGGGUUCCCAAAGACAAGAGCUUGUUGAUGUUGUGCUGCUGCCGGGCGGGCCAGCCUGUAGGUCAGGCGUUGGCGGGAGCCUCGUGCUCCGCGGGGCUUGUUGGUGAGGGUGGGGUGUGGGGGUACCGUCCUGUAGGCAGGGCUGUGCGUGCCCCCGGUGUGUGCUUGGUGAGCUGCGUUGAGAGAGACCCCCUGUAGUCAGGCGGGCAUGUGGCCCUGGCCUUUCAGAGGCACGGGGCCGCGAGAUGCGGGGUUGGGCUUGCGCCCUCCCUGGAAUCAGGGCUGGGAGCCCGAGCGCGGCAUUUGGCCGUGUUGCCCCGCUGCCUGGCAGCUGAGAGUCGCUCCCGCCGCUGGGGGGGAAACCGAGCUCUGUGGCUCCAGGGGUGUUGUCCACCCGCCUGUAAUCAGGGUCUGGGUGCGCGAGCGCUUGUGCUCAGCUGGCAGCCUGUGUGGGGUGACCGCCCCGUUAGCGGGGUGCGGGUCGAGGUGCCCCCUGAGUGGGAGAGAAGGAGCCUCCCGCGGCCGGUAGGGAUGGGGGCUGCCCUGUAAGGCGGGGAGCGCCAGUGCCUCGCAAUCCCAGGCCCUUUGGAAUGGAUGCAGUGGCGGGGGUCCCCUGUAAUCAGGGAAGAUGACUCUUUGGCCGCUGCUUGUUGUGUGCCCAGCUCCAUUUGCCCAGUCUGCCCGCCUCUGCGAUCCCCCGCAGCACCGGCUGGAAGCGCGCCGUGCGCCAGUGAGGAGCUGCUGCAGGAGGAGGAGGAGGAAGAAGGAGAAGCGGCGUGGGAACACAGGAGGCAGGAGCGAGCAAGAAGAGGAUGCCGAAGCGUGCCGACGCGGGGGGGAAGGAGAGAGGCAGGCUGGGCAAAGCAGGUGUCCCGUUAGCGGGGCCGCAGUCCCAUGAGAGUCCCAUUUGCCUUGGCCGGCUUUGUGCUG